rnacentral:rRNA from 1 species
ACGAACGCUGGCGGUGUGCUUAACACAUGCAAGUCGAACGGAAAGGCCUCUUUCGGGGGGUACUCGAGUGGCGAACGGGUGAGUAACACGUGAGUAACCUGCCCUUGACUUUGGGAUAACUUCAGGAAACUGGGGCUAAUACCGGAUAGGAGCUCCUGCUGCAUGGUGGGGGUUGGAAAGUUUCGGCGGUUGGGGAUGGACUCGCGGCUUAUCAGCUUGUUGGUGGGGUAGUGGCUUACCAAGGCUUUGACGGGUAGCCGGCCUGAGAGGGUGACCGGCCACAUUGGGACUGAGAUACGGCCCAGACUCCUACGGGAGGCAGCAGUGGGGAAUAUUGCACAAUGGGUGGAAGCCUGAUGCAGCAACGCCGUGUGCGGGAUGACGGCCUUCGGGUUGUAAACCGCUUUCGCUCAUGACGAAGCUUUGUGUGACGGUAGUGGGUAAAGAAGCACCGGCUAACUACGUG